AGUAACACGUAUCCAACCUGCCGUCUACUCUUGGACAGCCUUCUGAAAGGAAGAUUAAUACAAGAUGGCAUCAUGAGUCCGCAUGUUCACAUGAUUAAAGAUGUUCCGGUAGACGAUGGGGAUGCGUUCCAUUAGAUAGUAGGCGGGGUAACGGCCCACCUAGUCUUCGAUGGAUAGGGGUUCUGAGAGGAAGGUCCCCCACAUUGGAACUGAGACACGGUCCAA
rnacentral:rRNA from 1 species